CUUCUCCCUCCGACGUCCAAAGUGUAGAAACGUAAUUCUCCCAAAUUCCCUCGUUCAAACCCAAAUUCACACCAUUCUUCGCUGCUGUCGUUGCUGCGUCACGGUUGCGCCGCCAUCGCUCCUCCUGCUCACGCCGCCGUCGCGCUUUGUUGCUGCCGUGCCGCUGUCGCUCAUCACAUUCGCGCCACCGGCGCUCCUUCUCUCUGUUGUCGCCGUCGCUCCUCCUUCUCCGCUCUCUCUUACACGUCUUCUCUCUCUCAACCGAGCUCACAAAAAUUAGGUGAUUAACUUAAGAGGAGCUGAACAGAUCAUUUCGCUCCCAAUGAAAUGACAUUCAGUGGUGUGAUGAUGAUAUUGAGGAGAGUUACAAGGAGCCUCCACCGUAUAAGUACCCUGAGUGUGAUUGCGGAGCUGGUGUCUGUAGAAAGGUCGAGGAUCCGGAUGUCCAUAAGUACUAUUUUGCUUGCCCUGUUCCACGGGUGAUCAAACUUACAGUGAGAAGCCAGGACAUGAUUUUGCUUUGAAUGCAACCUAUGAUGAUGUGAAUGCUUCAAGCUAUGAUGCUCUAGUCAUUCCUAGAGGUCGUGCACCUGAGUAUUUGGCACAAUGAAUCUGUCAUUGCAUUAGUGAAGCAUUUUAUGGAAAGCAAGAAGCUAGUUGCAUCCAUCUGCCAUGGCCAACAGAUUUUAGCUGCUGCAGAUGUGCUCAAGGUACUCUUAGAUCAUGUUUGAUAUAUUUCACAUACAUUUGUUCCUCAACGAGCACUGAAGUUGAGCUGUGUAGGCGAAACGUGUGCAGUGUCUACAUUGAUUUUAUUCUUAAAUUAGCAUGAUGUAAAUUGUUCACAUUAAUUUGUUAACGCUU